AUGCAUGCGAGAGACACAAAGUGCCAUGUGGGACAAGCUUGUCAUGCUUUGUGUGUUUCUGGUAGACAAACUGCCAUGGCAUGUGCGUGUGUGAGAGAUAAAAUUGCCAUGGGUAUUUUUGGGUGUGUGAGACAAAAUUGCCAUGCUCUGCUUUUGUGUGAGAGAUACUUGUCAUGGUAUGUGUCGUGGUGGGCGCACGGCAGAUGCCAAGGGAGGGCUAAAGAUGAGAGGAGGCUCGAGGGCAUUGGUGGGCUCCAGAGGCGAGGUCGGCAUGAGCAAGCGCGGGACGCAAGACAUACCCAGGUUCGGAGAGAUAACACCCAAAGUCCCGCCGAGUGUGGUUUAUAUCUAAUAGUACAGGGUUGCUCCUAG
rnacentral:rRNA from 1 species